GGUGAGCAAACUGAGUCCAAAAGACACCAAGAGCUUUGCUGGAAGUCACCCCUGCGGAAUGGUGGAGCCAGGAAUUCAAACAACCCCUGAGGGGUACCAGGGACCCCCCUGAAGCCUGCCCCCGUGUUUCCAGAACAGAAGCCCGGCCAGAAAAGCAGCUGGAAAGUGCAGAAUAGAGAUUUGUCAGAAGAAUGAAAUCGACAAAUCCACGCCUGUUCGGAGAUCCCCCAGCCCCGCACGCACCAGGAAUCCAUCACUGAGGAGUGCUAUGAUUAUGCUCUGGUGUCGCCACCAUGGCCACCCAUUUAUGGCCUUCCUGUGCAAGGGGGUCAUUAAUGGCCACAACCAGCAGCCCUGCAGGGGCUCAUCCACCCUAACUAAGGCUAAGAGCGAGCUAGGAACCCCACUCCCAGGGCAGCACUUCAAACGUCAUCAACACCGGGCCUUUCCCUGAGGGCUCCUCAGCUGCCAGUCAACAAGCCCUGCUACUGGGACAGAGUCGGGGAAGAAGGGAAGGG
rnacentral:lncRNA from 1 species